AAUAAAGUUAAAUUAUUUUAAUGGGGGUUAAAGUAUUUUAAUAGAAAAAAUUUAAAGGUUUAUAGUGGAUUAGUAUUGUGAAAGAAUUUUGAAAUAAUUUAAAUAUGAAUUUAAUUAAAAGUAAUUUUUAUUUAGUGUAUCUUGUGUAUCAGAGUUUAUUAAAAAAAAUUUUUUGUUAAUAAAAAUUCUCGAAUUUAAAAGAGAUAAUUAAUUAUAAAAGUUAUUGUGGCAUAAAUAUUUUUAAUAAUUAAUUGGAAAUGAUAUGUUAAUCGUUUUUAAAUAUAUCUAGUUUUUUUAGAAAAAAAUUUAAUUUUAAAUUUAUCAAUUUAUUUAUUAAUUAUUUAAUAAAUAAAAUUUUUAAAUUUUAUAAUUUAAGGGAUAAUCUUUGAAUUAAAUAAAUAUAAUAAAUUUAAUUAUAAAAUGAUUUGAAAAUUAUAUGAUUUAUAUUGUUAAUAAAAUUUAAUUUAUUAUAAAUAAUUUCAUUUAAAAUAAAAUUUAAUUAAAAAUUUAUUUUUUUAUAAAUAAAUAAUUUUAAAUUAAUUUAAAAUUAGUUAUAAUGAUAAAAUUAGUAUAUAAUUUUUAUAUUAGAUUAAUUAAUUAAGUUAAUUAAUUAAAAGGAAUUCGGCAAAAAUUUAUAUUCACUUGUUUAUCAAAAACAUGUCUUUUUGGAAAUAAUAUAAAGUCUAAUCUGCCCACUGAUUUAAAUAUUGAAGGGCUGCAGUAUAUUGACUGUACAAAGGUAGCAUAAUCAUUAGUCAUUUAAUUGAUGACUUGUAUGAAAGAUUGGAUGAAAUAUAAACUGUCUCUUAAUUAAUUAUAGAAUUUAAUUUUUUAAUUAAAAAGUUAAAAUAUAUUAAAAAGACGAGAAGACCCUAUAGAGUUUUAUAUUUAAUUUAAUUAUAUUUAUUUAUAAAAUUAAUAAUUUUUAAUAAGAUUAAGUAUUUUAUUGGGGUGAUAGAAAAAUAAAUUGAACUUUUUUUAUAUAAAAACAUAUAUAAGUGAUAAAAUGAUCCAUUUUUAAUGAUUAUAAGAAAAAAUUACCUUAGGGAUAACAGCGUAAUUUUUUUUUUUAGUUCAAAUAAGAAAAAGAGUUUGCGACCUCGAUGUUGGAUUAAGAUAAAAUUUAAAUGCAGAAGUUUAAAAUUUUGAUCUGUUCGAUCAUUAAAAUCUUACAUGAUCUGAGUUCAGACCGGUGUGAGCCAGGUUGGUUUCUAUCUUUUAAAAAAUGAAAUAUUUUAGUACGAAAGGAUUAAAUAUUUAAAUUAAAUUUUAAUUUAUGAAUUUUAUUAAUAAAAAA
rnacentral:rRNA from 1 species